rnacentral:rRNA from 1 species
UAUAUAUAUAUAUGAGACUUUGUGAAGCCUAAAAAAGGAGUAUGGCGAAAGGGAAUCCGGUACUCAUUCCGGAACCUGGACAUGAGGAGUAGUGUUGCUUCGUGCAGCACCUAGCCGUAAGGCGUUUACCAUCCUGGAGAAUCCAACCAGAGAGCCGGGAAGAGUUGUCUUUUCUGCUUAAGGAACAGAGGGCCUUGUGAACUGAGUCGGUCAGAGAGAGGGUCUUUGUUCCGAAUAGCGCCGCGGUUCUUGCGGAGUCCAGCUCCUCUGGUGUGGAACAUGAAAAUCCAGGGGUAAGAAUUGAAA